UCAACAUGUAAGGCCUUUUCCCCAGAUUGAGCUGUGGCCCACAUAGCAGCAGAACAGGUGUCAAUAGACACAUGCACAUAACGUUUUGCACCAAACCACAUUACAUGGGUGACAUCCAUUUGCCACAACUGCAAUGGCGAAAGACCUCAUGGGUUAACCCCACAGCCCAGGCCCAACCCCUCCUUUUGACAAUCAGGGCAUGCUUUAACGAUGCCUUGGGCAUCAGUGAGUGGUAAAUCAAAUUGUUUUGCUAACAUUCUAGCGGGUUGGUGCAAAAACGCAUGUGAUUGCCUUGCUUUGUGGAAAAG